rnacentral:tRNA from 1 species
GGGAGUGCGCUCGAAGCUGGAGAGUCGGGACAGUCUGUAACACUGUUGCAUUUAUGCUGAGAAGGUUCGAAUCCUUCCACUCCCA